UACGGAGGGAGCGAGCGUUGUCCGAAGUUACUGGGCGUAAAGAGCGCGCAGGCGGUCGUUCAAGUCGCGUGUGAAAGCCCCCCGGCUCAACUGGGGAGGGUCACGCGAUACUGAUCGACUCGAAGGCAGGAGAGGGAAGUGGAAUUCCCGGUGUAGUGGUGAAAUGCGUAGAUAUCGGGAGGAACACCAGUGGCGAAGGCGACUUCCUGGCCUGUUCUUGACGCUGAGGCGCGAAAGCUAGGGGAGCAAACGGG
rnacentral:rRNA from 1 species